rnacentral:tRNA from 1 species
UACACUUUAUUGUAUGAUGCAAUUUAAUUUUUGAUAUUAACAGAGGGUAGUUUAAUUCUGUCAAGUGUAA